rnacentral:misc_RNA from 1 species
AUUCCCGCCUUCCCGAGUCUUUCACCGCUCUCUCUCUUUCUCUCGCUCGCUCUCUCUCUCUCAUUCUUUUCAUUCACCUCCUUCCAUCAUCAUGUCCGCUAUCACGUGCUACAAGUGUGGUGAGGCCGGCCACAUGUCGCGCAGCUGCCCGCGCGCCGCGGCGACCCGCUCUUGCUACAACUGUGGUGAGACCGGCCACAUGAGCCGCGACUGCCCCAGUGAGCGGAAGCCGAAGUCGUGCUACAACUGCGGCUCGACCGACCACCUGUCCCGCGAGUGCACGAACGAGGCCAAGGCCGGCGCCGACACCCGCUCUUGCUACAACUGCGGUGGCACGGGCCACCUGAGCCGCGACUGCCCGAACGAGCGCAAGCCGAAGUCGUGCUACAACUGCGGCUCGACCGACCACCUGUCCCGCGAGUGCCCGGACCGCCACUAGACGCAUGGUGCAAGGGCGGCAUUGUGAUCCCCCUGUCAUGUGUGAUGCAGUGUGAGUGCCUUGCCAGAGCAUGUGGCUAGCGCUGCGACAAGGAUGCGAAAAGGCAGGUUGAAGACAGGGCAGUGGGGAGCGGUGAAGGGGGUAUCCCACUGACACCGAAAAACAAAGGAACCCCUCCCUCCCCCCAAAGAAAAGAAAAAAGAGAUGCGUGGGAAUCACGUGGCGACGAGGAACCGUUAGGGCGAUCGCAGCGCAGAGAACCCAUCAAUCGCCAACACAGGAGAGACUCGUCAAUGUGGCACAAGACCAAAAGCAAAGGAAACGGAGCGAAAUACACAGCGAGGCACGUUCUUAAUGCUAUGUCUGUUUAAGUGCGCCGUGCUGACGGCUACGCUUCUCUUCACAGGUGCGCGCACAGGCUGGCGUCCGCCCCACCACUACUCUUUCGCUCUUUUGUUUUGUUUCUUUGUUUUGUGUGCUUUUAGAAAUCGCUCGAGGGCCGUGUGUUUUCGCGAGGUGUGCGCGCGCCAACGCUGCGGUAAGUAUAAGUGUCCGACGCCUUCCGAGUGUGCACGUCUUCCGCAAAGGAUAAGUUUCUCGCGCCAUAAUAUGGAUUAAGAAAAGGCGAACGAGAAAAGCAGUCCCCCAUCGUUGCUCCUCCCCUUGUUCUUCAGAUUUAUCUUUUCCGCAUGCUAAGAAUGGAAUGAGUUCUGUUUCAUCGUCGCCCUCUCUUGAUACAGAGCGAGGAUUCUGCAUGUGCGUGCGUGCGUGGUCGUAGGAGCGAGGGUGAUUUUUGUUUUCCUGCCCUCUCGCGUUCCCCCCCUUCGUGUCGGUAUGCGCAUGCUACUUGAGCGGCUUUCUCACAAUAGCGUUUCCUAGCCGGUGACCCUGUGAAGAGAGCUCAUGGGCUGGAGGAGAGCGAACGACGGAAGAGGAUGGCGGCGAAGAGGGACAGGAUAGAGACAGGUCACCUCCUCCCCCUCCGCACUCCUCACACCUCCCCCCUUUUUCCCACGCAUGCAACGAACGCACGCACGCAGACAAACGUAGACACAUACACACACACAUGCACAUACCCUUCGCAUUUACAGGAAUCAAGCAAUGCUUUUCUUUUUUUUUGUUGUUGGUUUUUCAUUUUCUCUUCCCUCCUUGGCUGUUCUAUGUUUCAGGCGCCUUUAGUUUCCUUCCUUCGUUGGCCCCAUAUGAUGAUGUGCGUUGCUGUUUCAUAUAUCGAAAAAAGCUUUCUUUUUUUUUAAAUAGGAUGUCCGGCUUGAUUUUGAUUUGAUGGAUUUGGUUUUCUGUGUGUGUAUCUUUCUCUCUCUCUGUGUGUGUGUAUGUAUGCCUGUGUAUUUGGAUUUUUGUCUUGUUUUGUUUUGUUCAUAACGGUGAGGUGCCUCAGGCAACACAUACACCUCACGUGCUGUUUCUUGCUCUUCUCCUUUUUUUGUUUCAGUCUGCCUUUUCACCACUAUUUUAUUUUUUUUUUGUUGUUGUUGAAAGGCACCUCAGGAGUUCACAAACCCACAAACUGAAAGGCGAAUAAACGAAAACGACGCACAUCUCCUGCGUGGCAAAUCUGAUGGAUGCUUUGCCGUGGCGCGCUCCCUCUGCCUUACCGGCCUCUGCUUUUGGGCACGUGAGCUGCCACCCUCGCUCGGUCUCUCUUCAUCGUGUGUGUGUGUGUGUGUGUGUGUGUCAUGAGUGGAUUCGAUGAUGCCUCUUUCUCGCUUCACCGCCGCGGACGGCGCAAUGAGUCACCGAAAGACCCCUGUUACAGUGCGGCGUACAAGUCGUCCACUCCUUCACUGACACACUUUAAAGCGGGAGAGAGAAGAGGGCAGCAGAGGCUGAAAAAGCAAGAUAGCAGGAUCUGCGCGCCACGUCGAAGGAAGAAUGAGGAGUACUCGAAGCUUGAGGAGUAUGCGACUGGGAACCAUGUGAAAACUUCUCGCACACUCCAUCACUGGCACGCAUUCACUGACACGCAUUCUCCGACACGCUCUUUCACUCGCAUACACAAGCGCUCACGGGGACAACGGAAGCAAAGACAGAUGCGCAAACAAAGAGUCAGCGAUGACAGCCACAGG